CACAGAGAGCCAUCCACAUGAUCCACCUUGAUAAAGAUUCUGGCAACACUUGAGUGGAAGAUGAAAACUAAAGUGAAUGUAAAGAGAUUCCAUGAGUCAGCCAUGCCAUGACUUGUAGUUUUGGCAUCAGCCUUUCAAAAUUGGGCGUUCCCCUGUGAUGUUUAAUUGGCUCUCGGAAACACAGUUUAAAACAAGUUUUGGACAUAGGCGCACGGAACAAAACCAGCUUCGGUGGGGAAUUCAUUCUGGCUGCAAAAAGAAGGUGGUGAGAGAAGCCUUCCUCAUGAGGCAUCAGAUGGAAGGAGGUCUGAACCAAAAAGCCAGGCCCACACCCUUUGAGGAUAUUUGAAAUCCACACCCAGAUCUGAACGUGAAUUGUGAAGCUUGGCAGCUUUUGGUAAGGCCUGGAAAAAAGAACGUGUCAAGAUCCCAACCAGGAAUGAAAACGAUAAUACAGCAAAGUAACUCAUCCAGCCCCCAUCAAAGUCAACCUGCAAGAGAUUUUGUCUCCUGCUUAGAAGACACUAGCCUACACACACAAUCUUCAAAACCCGCUCUUCAGCUCUCAUUUACCUUUUCAAGUGCUUCACUGAAGCACAGAUUUACAAAAUACAGCCAUAUUAUCUUUUCAUUCAUUGUCAUGAACUUGACAUAUUCAUCUUUUAAGGUUUUACCAAAAGCUAUCAAGCUUCCUAUAAAAUGGGAAGAUGGUUUUAUAUAGAUCUGGAAAAGGGAUUUUUUCAUUUGGCCUCUGAACACUUUCAUGUGGGAUAUCCGGAUAAUUUAUGAUCAGAGAUAGGUCCAAGCCACCAGAUUUAAAAGUGUCUGUUUGCCCUAUAAACCUUAAAACUUGCAUCCAGGAACAAACAUCUGGGGAGUGUCCAGACUAGACUUUAAAAACACGUUAGCUACCAUGAGUUAACCUGCAAUCAGUUUAGAAGUAAAAGCGCUAGUGUAGACAUAUCCUGUGAGACUGCUGUUUACAACGAGACUUUCAUUUACAUGCUGAUGUGUGUACAUCAUUAAUACAUGCCACAUUCCUUGAAUUUCAAACAAACUUAUGGAAGCCGGCCAGCAAAAAGCACAAACUCAGAUUUUACCAGACUUUACAAAGACUGUUAGAUGAUGUACCACUUCUUUUACUAACUAUGGACUGUGAAAAUACUUGUCCUGGGUAAAUUGCACAUCAGGGUGCAGUAUACAUACAACUCUUUAAGGUUUUGCUAAUAAAUGCAUGAAAA